UUGAGGAAACAAAAUCCCAUCAUCAAUAAUUUGUUCUGAGAACCCUAAAUUCGGGUCAAAAUUGGAAAGAAUUACGUAAGUAGAAUUCGGCUGAGGUUUAGAAGAAGGAUGAAAUAGGGAUUUAUCUAGGUCCGAAUCCCCUGAAAAGAAAUCAUCAUCAAGAGUACCUACACGUGAUAGGUGAAGAAAAGGUCGACGUCGGCGAUGAUGGUCACGUCGGAGCUGAGGAUGCUGCAGCUGUUGACCGGAGAGG
rnacentral:misc_RNA from 1 species